rnacentral:misc_RNA from 1 species
GGUGGGGAGAUUGAUGAUGAUGUCACACAUCGUAGUGGUGUAGGGUGGAUGAAAUGAAGGUGCGCAUAUGGAGUGAUAAGAAGGUUUCACCAAAACUUAAAGACAAGUUCUAUAGGGUGGUGGUGUGGUAGUUUGACCAACUAUGUUGUAUAGAGUGGAGCAUGACCAGUUAAGAACUCUCACGUUCCAAAGAUGAAAGUAGCGGAAA